AUGAGGAACAAUCGGAUGUUCCAGUCCCUUGGCAUCGGUGCAAUAGCGUCGUUGAUUAGGAAAGCAAAUGGUGUACAAGAAGGUAGAAGUGAUGAGGUUCAAGAAAGUAGUGGAGUUAUCAAUGAUGACCCAGAGUACAAUCCUAAGGAGGAUGAAGUUAUUGAUGGAGAGGAAGUGGAUGAUGUUGUAGUGAGCAAGACUAUUAAGGUGCAAACUCUGUCUUGCUUGGAGAAGAAGAAGAGCUCAGAAACAUCUGCUGCAAUGCCUCCAGGAAGGGUGAUGGCCCCAGCUCCAGGACAAAAAAAGAGGAUCCUGGAACCUGAUGAACCUGCCCUUGAUAGAGUCACAAGGCAGAAAGCAAAGAUGGCGACUGCGACGGACCAUCAGGAAAGUCUGCUGCGCAUGGACUCUGAGACCUCGGUGCAAAUGGGUGAUGAGUUGCCGCUCAUGGAUGAAGAUGCAAUGACUACCAAGACUAGACUUAGAAAGGGCAAAGGGCUAGAGAGGAUCACCACGUCGCUUGGUAGCAAGGUGCCUAUCCAAAUUGCCGAAGGGAUGAAGCGUCCAGAGAAGCCUCUGCAGUCAGCAAAGCUUGCUUCUGAGUGUGGACUCGUUGCAAGAAGCCAUCUUCUGGUUCUUCCUCACUUCAAGCUAUACAAAAAAUGCUAG
rnacentral:rRNA from 1 species